AGUAACUGCGAGUGAACUGGAAUUAGCCCAUCACGAAAUCUAUAUUAUAAUAAUAAUAUCGAAAUGUCGUGUAUAGGUUUUAUUAUUAUUAAUAAAUUAUUAUUAAAUAAUUGUAUUUAAAUAUACAGCCACAGAAGGUGCCAGCCCUGUUAUUUAAUAAUAUUUAUUAAAUUUAUAAAACUUUAGAGUCGUGUUGCUUGGAAGUGCAGCACAAAGUUGGUGAUAAACAUCAUCUAAGGCUAAAUAUUCCUAUGAAUCCGAUAGCGAACAAGUACUGUGAAGGAAAAUUGCAAAGUACUCCGGAGAGAGAGUUAAAGAGGACGUGAAACCGAUACGAUGGAAGCAUACAGAGCCAGUUGCACUAUUAUUAAUAUUUUUUUAUUAAUAAUUUUAAGCAUGGGUAUAUUGAUUAUUAAUUAGUUAUUUAUUAAAGAGUGAUAAAAUUUUUUAAAUUUUGUUAACUUUAAUAAAAUAAUUAUAUUUAUAAUUAAUAUUAUAUAUUAUUAAUGUAUUAAUAAUAUUUUAAUUAUUAAUAUAAUAUAAGACACAUGUGUUAAAUAUUAUUUAUUAAUAAUUAUUAUAUUAUUAUAAAUUAAUAAACCUAUGUAAUCCUGGUAUGCUGUAUGUCCCGUCUUGAAACACGGACCAAGGAGUGUAUUGCUAUGGCAAGUCAUUGAUAUUAUUAAUAUCAAAGGCAUAAUGAAAAUAAUUUUUAAUCUCAGAUCUUUUGAUUAUAUUAUCAUUAGCGCAUGAGAAACGUAAAUAUAUGAUUUAUUCAUUUUUUACAGUUAUAGCCAUAGUAGUGCGACCCGAAAGAUGGUGAACUAUACUAGUGCAGGGUGAAGUCAGAAGAAAUUCUGAUGGAAGCUCGAAGCGGUCCUGACGUGCAAAUCGGUCGUCUGACAUUAGUAUAGGGGCGAAAGAC
rnacentral:rRNA from 1 species